rnacentral:rRNA from 1 species
UACGUAGGUGGCAAGCGUUGUCCGGAUUUACUGGGCGUAAAGAGCGCGCAGGCGGUCGUUCAAGUCGCGUGUGAAAGCCCCCGGCUCAACUGGGAGGGUCACGCGAUACUGAUCGACUCGAAGGCAGGAGAGGGUAGUGGAAUUCCCGGUGUAGUGGUGAAAUGCGUAGAUAUCGGGAGGAACACCAGUGGCGAAGGCGACUUCCUGGCCUGUUCUUGACGCUGAGGCGCGAAAGCUAGGGUAGCAAACGGG